UUAGCAUUUGUCUCUGACCUUUCUGCUUCCUCGAAGGAGAGGGCAGACAGCGAUGCAAGUGUCUUGCAAUGACAGCGCUACUGCAGAAAAUACUUUAUGGACUGAGAGAGAUCGAUAGAGCCGUGGGAAGAAUGGAAGAGCCAGAGGACGGGGAUGAGCGCUGUGAAAUGCUUUCUUCGGGACAGGAUACGUUGACUGCACUCAUGAGCUCUCUGCAGCUGUGACUCCCUGCACAAAUUCAAGUCAUCAUUCCAACAGGUCUCAUGGCCUUAGCUGGUAUUUAUAAUCACCUUCUACUACUCAUUCUGUAUAUGCUCCACCUCAAGCA
rnacentral:lncRNA from 1 species